AUUAAAAAGAAGGAAUACUUACACAACCAUGGCUGAAAUAUGACAUAAGACUUCCAAGAGUUCUGAAUCUUUCCCUCUUGUCAACCCAGAAUAAUUUUCUUCCCCUUUUCACCUUAUCGUCCUACAGGUAUUUAGAAACAGCCUCCCCUAUCCUGUUCACUACAUCCAAGAACAAAAAAAGGGAGAAGUAAUAUCAUAGAUUUGUUACUUCAGGAGGUCAUUCUUGGUGCCAUACAAGGCGAAGCGAGGCAAGGCUGGACUGGGCUGACGGUGGGUGACAGGAUAGAGGGAAGUUUGGGAUGCCAAGAUCAUCUCCACAUUUGGAUUCUCAUAAUCCUCUCUCAGCUCCAGUCAUAGUCACUGCUCUAUUGUGAGAGCCUUGAGGUGUCUCAGAACACAGGUGUUCUCAGAGAAGAAGUAGGACAAACCUCGGACCCUCUCCUGUGAGUACAGCUUCCCCAUUCCCACGGACAUAGAGACUCCACGGGCAGGACCCUGUUCUAGGUGGGGCUGGGUUCAGCCAGCAGACCAGAAGGAUAUAGGAUAUUCUGCCAAACACAACUUCAGUCCAUUGGCCAGCAGCUCUGAUCGAGACACUACUGUUCAGUCUUGUUCUAGACGUGACUUGGGGGAAUGCGAAAGACAGAAGAAAAGGCGCAAGAAUGAUAUGGUUAUUCGGAGAGAAAGGAUACUUGCAAGAGUAGUUUAUUCUGGUCCUCUCAGGGCUGAGUAUUCCUGCCUGUUUUUUUCACAGCCCUUUAUGUUGGUUCUAUCAGUGUUUAUCUUACUGCAUUGCGACAGUCUGUUGACCUGUCUCUCCCUCUAAAAUGAGAUCUUUCAGGACACUCAUUAUGUAUGAUUCCUUUCUGUCUAUCCAUCCUGGCCACAGAGAAGUACCUACAUAAUUGUUUGUUGAAUGCACAAAUUAAUACUUUUUUUAUAGUAAGCAUUUAAAAGUCUUUUUUUUUCCCCUGAGGAAGAUUUGCUCUGAAGUAACAUUUGUGCCAAUCUUCCUCUAUUUUGUAGGUGGGAUGCCACCACAGCAUGGCUUGAUGAGUGGUGUAAGUCUGCGCCUGGGAUCUGAACCCAUGGACCUGGGCUGCCGAAGUGGAGCGUGCCAAACUUAACAACUACGCCACUGGGCCGGCCCCUAAAGUCUUCUUUUAAAGAAAUAAGUCAAUGCUCAAAGAUAUAUAUACAAAGAUGUCUUCAAAUCCCCAUUUGAGUCCAUCAAUAGAAUAUCAUUAAAUGAAGUGCAUCCAUAUGAUUUAAUACUAUGCAUCUGUUGAGAGUGCGGCAGAUUUUGUCUUUCUAAACAUAUUUUUCAGUGAAAAAGCAAUGUUGUAGAAUAACGUGUAUAGUAAUGAUUCUAAUUUGUGUAAAAACGUUUUGUGGAUAUGUCAGUAAAGGCAUUAACUAAAAGGAGUGGAAGGAUACACAUCAUUUUAAUAAUAGUUGUCUCCUCUGGAUAGAACUGGGUUUGAGGCAGGCGGUCAAAGUAAACUUUAAUUUUGUUAAAAUAUUUUUGAGUGACCCUCUGGAUUGUGACUGGAAUCCACAGGAUCUUAGAGAUUUUCUUCUUUGUGAGGAGAUUUUAUUUUUUCGUUUUCUUCUACAGCUUUAUUGAGAUAUAUUGGACAUAUAUGAAAUUGUAU
rnacentral:lncRNA from 1 species